CCUACGGGUGGCAGCAGUGGGGAAUAUUGCACAAUGGGGGAAACCCUGAUGCAGCGACGCCGCGUGAGGGAAGAAGGAUUUCGGUAUGUAAAGCCCUAUUAGCAGGGAAGAAAAUGACGGUACCUGAGGAAUAAGCACCGGCUAACUCCGUGCCAGCAGCCGCGGUAAUACGGAGGGGGCAAGCGUUAUUCGGAUUUACUGGGCGUAAAGAGCGCGUAGGCGGCAGUGCAAGUCUGGAGUGAAAAGCUAUGGCUUAACCACAGGACUGCAUUUGAAACUGUCCUUCUGGAGUGCAGGAGAGGUAGGUGGAAUUCCUGGUGUAGCGGUGAAAUGCGUAGAUAUUAGGAGGAACACCCGUUGCGAAGGCGGCCUACUGGACUGUAACUGACGCUGAGGCGCGAAAGCGUGGGGAGCAAACAGGAUUAGAUACCCUUGUAGUC
rnacentral:rRNA from 1 species